rnacentral:lncRNA from 1 species
AGAAAUCUCAUGUUGCUAGCUUUAUUUAUUUAUUUAUUUAUUGAUAUAGAAAGCUUUAUUUGUUGUUUGAUGGAGAGAACAGAAGGAACAAGGUCCUCCUAAUCCAUAUAGUUGGAUGCUCGCAUUAUUUGGUUUCUCAUUCUCUCUUGAAAUCUGAUUUCGAAUCUCUAAUCUCGCUUUACAUUAUUUAUAAUAUCUAUGGUAUAAAUUUAUUAUAUUCAAUGG